AUUGAACGCUGGCGGCAUGCCUUACACAUGCAAGUCGAACGGCAGCACGGGAGCAAUCCUGGUGGCGAGUGGCGAACGGGUGAGUAAUACAUCGGAACGUGCCCAGUAGUGGGGGAUAGCCCGGCGAAAGCCGGAUUAAUACCGCAUGAGACCUGAGGGUGAAAGCGGGGGAUCUCAAGACCUCGCGCUAUUGGAGCGGCCGAUGUCAGAUUAGGUAGAUGGUGAGGUAAUGGCCAACCAUGGCAACGAUGACUAGGGGGUCUGAGAGGAUGUCCCCCCACACUGGUACUGAGACACGGACCAGACUCCUACGGGAGGCAGCAGUAGGGAAUAUUGGGCAAUGGUCGCAAGACUGACCAAGCCAUGCCGCGUGCAGGAAGACGGCCCUAUGGGUUGUAAACUGCUUUUAUCAGGGAAGAAACCCUUCUAUGCGUAGGAGGCUGACGGUACCUGAGGAAUAAGGAUCGGCUAACUCCGUGCCAGCCGCCGCCGUAAGAC
rnacentral:rRNA from 1 species